GAACGGUAACAGGAAGCAGCUUGCUGCUUUGCUGACGAGUGGCGGACGGGUGAGUAAUGUCUGGGAAACUGCCUGAUGGAGGGGGAUAACUACUGGAAACGGUGGCUAAUACCGCAUAACGUCGCAAGACCAAAGAGGGGGACCUUCGGGCCUCUUGCCAUCAGAUGUGCCCAGAUGGGAUUAGCUAGUUGGUGAGGUAACGGCUCACCAAGGCGACGAUCCCUAGCUGGUCUGAGAGGAUGACCAGCCACACUGGAACUGAGACACGGUCCAGACUCCUACGGGAGGCAGCAGUGGGGAAUAUUGCACAAUGGGCGCAAGCCUGAUGCAGCCAUGCCGCGUGUAUGAAGAAGGCCUUCGGGUUGUAAAGUACUUUCAGCGGGGAGGAAGGUGUUGUGGUUAAUAACCGCAGCAAUUGACGUUACCCGCAGAAGAAGCACCGGCUAACUCCGUGCCAGCAGCCGCGGUAAUACGGAGGGUGCAAGCGUUAAUCGGAAUUACUGGGCGUAAAGCGCACGCAGGCGGUCUGUCAAGUCGGAUGUGAAAUCCCCGGGCUCAACCUGGGAACUGCAUUCGAAACUGGCAGGCUUGAGUCUUGUAGAGGGGGGUAGAAUUCCAGGUGUAGCGGUGAAAUGCGUAGAGAUCUGGAGGAAUACCGGUGGCGAAGGCGGCCCCCUGGACAAAGACUGACGCUCAGGUGCGAAAGCGUGGGGAGCAAACAGGAUUAGAUACCCUGGUAGUCCACGCCGUAAACGAUGUCUACUUGGAGGUUGUGCCCUUGAGGCGUGGCUUCCGGAGCUAACGCGUUAAGUAGACCGCCUGGGGAGUACGGCCGCAAGGUUAAAACUCAAAUGAAUUGACGGGGGCCCGCACAAGCGGUGGAGCAUGUGGUUUAAUUCGAUGCAACGCGAAGAACCUUACCUGGUCUUGACAUCCACAGAAGAAUCCAGAGAUGGAUUUGUGCCUUCGGGAACUGUGAGACAGGUGCUGCAUGGCUGUCGUCAGCUCGUGUUGUGAAAUGUUGGGUUAAGUCCCGCAACGAGCGCAACCCUUAUCCUUUGUUGCCAGCGGUCCGGCCGGGAACUCAAAGGAGACUGCCAGUGAUAAACUGGAGGAAGGUGGGGAUGACGUCAAGUCAUCAUGGCCCUUACGACCAGGGCUACACACGUGCUACAAUGGCGCAUACAAAGAGAAGCGACCUCGCGAGAGCAAGCGGACCUCAUAAAGUGCGUCGUAGUCCGGAUUGGAGUCUGCAACUCGACUCCAUGAAGUCGGAAUCGCUAGUAAUCGUGGAUCAGAAUGCCACGGUGAAUACGUUCCCGGGCCUUGUACACACCGCCCGUCACACCAUGGGAGUGGGUUGCAAAAGAAGUAGGUAGCUUAACCUUCGGGAGGGCGCUUACCACUUUGUGAUUCAUGACUGGGGUGAAGUCGUAACAAGGUAACCGUAGGGGAACCUGCGGUUGGAUCACCUCCUUACCUUAAAGAA
rnacentral:rRNA from 1 species